rnacentral:rRNA from 1 species
AGCUCCAAUAGCGUAUAUUAAAGUUGUUGCAGUUAAAAAGCUCGUAGUUGGACCUUGGACCUGGACAGGCGGUCCGCCUCACGGCGAGUACUGUCUUGCUGGGUCUUUCCUCUUGGUGAUCUGUUGUUUCGGCAGCAGGGAACCAGGACCUUUACUUUGAAAAAAAUUAGAGUGUUCAAAGCAGGCUCGACGCCGGAAUAUAUUAGCAUGGAAUAAUAAAAUAGGACGUGCGGUUCUAUUUUGUUGGUUUUUGGAAUCGCCGUAAUGAUUAAUAGGGACAGUCGGGGGCAUUAGUACUCACAUGCUAGAGGUGAAAUUCUUGGAUUUUGUGAAGACUAACUUCUGCGAAAGCAUUUGCCAAGGAUGUUUUCA